CUUAAGACUAGCCAUAUAUUGAAUGUGUCUAUAUCCCUGUUUCAGAUGUGAGAACCAAGUGUAUUACUGUAUGUGUCUUUCAGACAAAUGAGGGCAUUCGUUUGCUUGCAGUAUGAAACACCCAGCAUUCCUAAUGUAGUUUCACGAACAGUGAGUUUCAACACUGUUCGUGAAAAGAAUAAACUACCAAAUGGUCGACCACACACACAAGAGGUCAUGUGGCGCCCAUUAACCAAUUGCAACAUUGUUGCAAUCGGUAGUUAAAGGCUUCCCUAGGUGGCCGUCGUUCGGUUACCUACCACGCGGUGGUUGGCAAUCUUGGAUCCUUUGUUAGCCCAGCUGUGUUUUGCCGUCGAGCGCCUGGAACUAAAAUCAGUUACUCAACGCCGCGAACACCGCUGGACUUUCAGGCCGUUCGGGAG